CUUGUCUUUUUACUUAUAAUCAUCCUGACGGGUGUGAGGUAGUACCACAUUAUAGUUUUGAUUUGCAUUUCCCUAAUGAUUAGUGACGUUGAUCAUCUUUUCAUGUUCUUAUGGCCAU